AUUGAACGCUGGCGGCAGACUUAACACAUGCAAGUCGAGCGGAGAUGAGGUGCUUGCACCUUAUCUUAGCGGCGGACGGGUGAGUAAUGCUUAGGAAUCUGCCUAUUAGUGGGGGACAACAUUCCGAAAGGAAUGCUAAUACCGCAUACGCCCUACGGGGGAAAGCAGGGGAUCUUCGGACCUUGCGCUAAUAGAUGAGCCUAAGUCGGAUUAGCUAGUCGGUGGGGUAAAGGCCUACCAAGGCGACGAUCUGUAGCGGGUCUGAGAGGAUGAUCCGCCACACUGGGACUGAGACACGGCCCAGACUCCUACGGGAGGCAGCAGUGGGGAAUAUUGGACAAUGGGCGGAAGCCUGAUCCAGCCAUGCCGCGUGUGUGAAGAAGGCCUUUUGGUUGUAAAGCACUUUAAGCGAGGAGGAGGCUACCUGGAUUAAUACUCUAGGAUAGUGGACGUUACUCGCAGAAUAAGCACCGGCUAACUCUGUGCCAGCAGCCGCGGUAACAC
rnacentral:rRNA from 1 species